CCUCCGCAGGCAGCCGGCCCCGAGGCUGGGCUGGGCUGCAUGAGUAUCUCUUGGAAAGGCUCACCCUCAAGCACGACUAGGAGC
rnacentral:pre_miRNA from 1 species